GUGGAGAAUUAAAACCACAGACAACCAGAAGCUCAGGGUCACAUUUGCAGAUUGAAUCGAGGCUCCUUAAAGCAGUUAUCCAAUCUGUCUUGGUCUCCCCAAUGUAGAAGAGAGCAACAGAUCGUGAGCAACAAAUACGUGGAAGCUUUCUCUAGGCACCUGAAAGUGUUUACUGGCCUGGACUUUGCAGUGAGUGGUGGAGCAACGACACUUGCCACUAACCUCAAAGAAAGCCUCGUUGAAAGAUCUAGUGAUCUCUAUAGCAAGAACUUUCUCUCUUCUCACCAUGCAGCUGAUUGCAAUGUUCUUCAAUGAAGAUUCCCAGCAUGGAGCUGCAGUGAUACCAUCAAACUGUACAUGCAGCCAAUCACACUAAAAAAUUUUCACAGAUAGCCAACCAGAAAAUGAAAAGCUGGAAGAAUGAAUCACCUUUAAACUUGCAUAGGACAAAAAAAAGAUUGGGAUAUAUAUAUGGGGUUAAGGUAGAAGUUGUGUUAUGAUCUUGAAGAGAUCAGUAACUAUUAAAAGGAAUUCAAACUCCCAGUUAUUAACUAAAAUAAUUACGUCACAGGGUUUCAGGUUUUAAACAAAAACUUUGACUGUCCGAGUUAAACGAGGCAAGUACUACUAACUUAACAAUACAUUUUGUAAUUAGUUAUUCUUUAAGUCCGAACAUCGCAAUAGGACAUUUCCUGUUCUAUUUUUAUUUCCACCCAAGUAUUCCCUAUACUUUAGGGUGUGCCAUAGCUCUCAGAAAUUCACUCUUCAGUGUUCCUGCUAUUCUCCGAGGUAUGAGAUUUCUUGGGGUCCCUCCACCAGCACCUGGCUUGGCGACCCUCCAUCUCUCCUUAAGCACCUUAUAAUUGUGGACAUCCCAGCUCAAACAUGGGUCUCACUACUCUUGCUCAAUGACUUCAAAAUCAGAAACACCUUUGGUUACUGAUAGCCCUUUGCUAGAGGUCUCAGCUGCUUCCAAGCACCAACUGCUGGCAGCAUUCUCUCCCUGCCUGUUUCCAAGCAGUUCCACUAUUUCUCUGAGAAAUCACAGAGCUAAGGCCAAAUCAAAAGGGCAUCUCCCUGCAACUAUCCCCAUAGCAACUUGGAACACCUGGGAUGUCCCAGAUAGAGAUUCAAACUAAUUAUUUCCAAUUCCCAAGCUUUCCCUUUGUUUUAGGAAACCCUAUGAAUAAUUUAAAUCCCUCAUGAAGACACUGUAGACAUGUUAUCUCCACCAGAAAACACUGAAAGGGGCCACCUAUUGUUUAAUGUUUUCCUACUUCCAACUCUGACCUUAUUAAAUAAUGACAGGCCAUCCUUUGAAUUGCAAUUACUUUAGGUGUGUUUACCAGCCUCUUACAGUUUUAAAAAAUUUAUCUUACAUUUAAAAGUUUCAUUCCCCAAACUAAAAGUUAUACUCCUAAAACAAAUGAACCAUUAAAUUAGACAAGAGUUGAAAUAUCAUCAAAAAGGUUUAUAAAAAAUUAUUUUAAAAAUUUAGUUUAAAAAAUCCUAGUAAUUUAUCACAAUUUACAUCCUCCAUAAAUAUAAAAUACAUUUUUCAGGGCCAGAUUUGUUGUCCAGCAAUAGUUGGUACAGCUCACUUUGAACAAUGUGUAACUUUUUAUGAGGGUUCUAACAGAUAUGAGAGUGGAAAAGGUGGAGCAGGUUCAAAAGGUAGAAUGGUCUACUCCUCCUAGCUUCAAUGUUUCUAUGAUACUCUACAAUUGAGUUUGCAACCUGGUUUCCUGUCACUCCCGCAACAUCAACAGUGGUUGACUGGCAAAUGUACCCUCACAGGUAUUGUGCCACCUUGGAAGUGUUAGCAAACAGACAGACUAAAUUUAGCUUAGGUGUUUUUUAAAAUUUUCAUAUGUUGCCUCAGAAUUCAUGUGUCAAGUCUGACAUUUCAUUUGUUCUUGUUUUAAGGAAACUAGGUGGAGUUUUUAAUAGUGCCUUUAGUACAAAAAGUAACAAGGCUAUAUAGGUCAGAUAUAAUUAUCAAAACUAUGCAAUAGAAAAAUUAAAUAACUCAAAGUAAUGGAUCAAGCCAUGUGUGCUCUGUGGAGCCCUACAGCAAUGAAUCCCUGUUUUAAAUUUUUAUUCUAUUAAUGGACACAAACUGUGACUUGGGUCUAGUAUAUAAGGGCUUAUUUUAAAAAUAUGUGCUACCAGGAGUCAGUCUUGUCUGUCGGUCAAGUAUCGAUAGUGGGGACAUGGCUCAGAUUUGGACAGGACCGGAAACCGUAAUAUUUUUGAUCAUAGCAUUUUCAUAAAUAUGGAGACAAAGAAGCAGAGUGAGUUGGCAAUGUUAAUGAAGGAUUAUAUCACAGCAGAAGAUUGUUGUAGCGGUUUGUGUUAAGAGGGAAAGAGAAAUGGUACAAUCCUUGGUGUGCAUUAAAGAAGUAGCAUGAUUUUUUGAGGUAACUGUAGUCAAGGAAUAGGAGGUGAACUAGGUGCUCGAAUAGUGAUGUCAAGUAUCUCCAGGAGGCAGGAGCUGCCUGCCUGGUGCCAGCAGCAAAAACAGGCAGCAUCCAUGAUGGGGUCUGCUGCUGACUUGUUGAUUAGGGCAGGCAGCAUUUAAUCGAAAGAAAGUGGCUAUGCUAUCAAAAUAAAAGUCAUGCGCACAUGCCAGAGCAAAAAUCUCCAUGCACAAAUACUAUUUAUCCAAUAUACAAACUUUCAUGUCUCCUCAUUUUGAAAGUGACAGCUGUGCACUAACGUGCACCAGACUGUUCUGGUUUGCCAGAAUCCCAUUAGAAAAUUGCAGCCCCCAUUUCCCUGACCUUUUAACAAGCUCCUAAAGGAGUUUAGUGGGUCGUUAAUUGGAGGCAAGCUGAUUCCCCAUUCCCGAAUACUAUGCAAUGAGAGUUGAGAAAAAGGCAUCAUCAUUUAUUUAUGACAUAAUACAAAAAGGCAGUUUCUUAAACCAAGCUUGUGAAGUACUCUAAGGUUAAAUUCUGCUAUAUGUUGGCCUUUUCAGUCAGAAUCAAAACCCAUAGAGACUCGCUUAAACUGCAUCAAUUGAUUUUAUUAAUAGGUUAACAACCUUCUUAUACAAUGUUGUGAUUAAUUGAAGCUGACCGCAGCUAAGACUAGAGCUUCAGCAAAUUGGUUGUUAUCUUUAUUCAUAAGCUUGGAACAAAUGCAUCAAGACAGUGAUUUUAUCUCCUAAACAAAGUGGUGCAGCAUUUGAAAAGACUGGGAAUAAGUAAUAAACCUCAGGUCCUAUGUUUCUGAAAAAAACUGACCAGCAGAAAAGGGACUUUUCAUCAAUGAUACAAAGUUAUCCAACUGCACAUCAGAAAUGAGAGUAUGUAUUGUAUCUGCCAAAGAGGUUUAGCAAUUCAGUUUGAAAUAUAUUGCAUAAUAUUGAUUCAUAUGGUGCCCAACCCUGAUGCAAUCAAAUUGAGUAAAAGUUCAAAAAUUA